rnacentral:tRNA from 1 species
GGCUUGGUGGUCUAGUAGUAUGAUUCCUUCUUAGGGUUAAAACCAACUGGAGGAGGUCCCGGGUUCAAUUCCCGGCCAAGCCC